rnacentral:rRNA from 1 species
AACACAUGCAAGUCGAACGAAGCAGUUUAUUCAGAUCCCUUCGGGGUGACGAAUUUAUUGACUUAGUGGCGGACGGGUGAGUAACGCGUGAGCAACCUGCCUUACAGUACGGGAUAACGUCCGGAAACAGACGCUAAUACCGUAUAAUGCAAUUGGGACGCAUGUUUUGAUUGCCAAAGAUUUAUUGCUGUAAGAUGGGCUCGCGUCUGAUUAGGUAGUUGGUGGGGUAACGGCCUACCAAGUCGACGAUCGGUAGCCGAACUGAGAGGUUGAUCGGCCGCAUUGGGACUGAGACACGGCCCAGACUCCUACGGGAGGCAGCAGUGAGGGAUAUUGCACAAUGGGGGAAACCCUGAUGCAGCAAUGCCGCGUGAGGGAAGACGGUCUUCGGAUUGUAAACCUAAGUUGUCAGGGACGAAACAUGACGGUACCUGAAGAGAAAGCUCCGGCUAACUACGUG